rnacentral:rRNA from 1 species
UACGUAGGGUGCAAGCGUUAAUCGGAAUUACUGGGCGUAAAGCGUGCGCAGGCGGUUAUGUAAGACAGAGGUGAAAUCCCCGGGCUCAACCUGGGAACUGCCUUUGUGACUGCAUAGCUUGAGUGCGGCAGAGGGGGAUGGAAUUCCGCGUGUAGCAGUGAAAUGCGUAGAUAUGCGGAGGAACACCGAUGGCGAAGGCAAUCCCCUGGGCCUGCACUGACGCUCAUGCACGAAAGCGUGGGGAGCAAACAGGAUUAGAUACCCUGGUAGUCCACGCCCUAAACGAUGUCAACUGGUUGUUGGGAAGGUUCCUUCUCAGUAACGAAGCUAACGCGUGAAGUUGACCGCCUGGGGAGUACGGCCGCAAGGUUG